UCUCUAAUGGUGCUUAGCCUCAGCACAGCCC
rnacentral:piRNA from 1 species